UCAGACACCUCGAAUCACAGAUAGUUGGAGAUGAAAAGGACCUUAGAAACCGUAAGAAACACCGUGGGCAAGGAGAGUGGGGAGCUCUGGAGCCAUAAACCUGGCUUCAGGUCCCAGUUCUGCCACUCAUCAGCUGGGUGGCCAAGGACAGCAUUUUUCAGAGAACAGGAGGGAGCUGCUUCCUUAAGUAUUGCCUGGGAUCACAUUCAGACUGGAGAUGUUGCCAGAAGCAAAUCCACCUCAGUGGGGAUUCUGGUUGACCCAGGAGACCCUCUGCUCCUGAGGGAACUACCGAGGGGCUUGGGCUGUGACUCCAGGACCAAGAGUUUUGGGAGAGACUUUCCUUCCCUGGACAAGGAAAAGGAAGUGGAGCUACCAGCUGCUACUCUGGGAGGCUAGAGACGCAUCUCUCUACCAUGCACCCUUUCCAAAGCUCUGUUCUCUGAGGGCUUCUCGAAAUACCCACUUUAAUCAGAGUUAAGCCGGAUUUGAAGGUUGAGAUGAUUAGAUGUGUCAAAAAAAUUUUACAGUCUAAUAACACCCAAUGCUGUCAAGAAUGUGGAAAAAAAGAGACACAUAUGCAUUGUUGAUGUGAGUGUCAAUUGGCGUCCAUUUUUGGAGGGAGUUUGCUAGUAUCAUUAGAAUGUGAAAUAGAUACACUCUCAGACUCAACAUUUCCACUCCUAAGAGUCAAUUCUAGAGAAAUAUGUGCACGUGGACACAAAGAGUCGGGCAUGAAGAUGUUUGCAGAAAUGUUGUUUGCAACUGCAAAAAACAGUAAAAUAAAAAGCCACCAAAUCAAAAAA